CUGUCGUACCGGCACGCAUGGGGGCUGUUGCGUGCGCUCGAGGCGUGCGUCGGCGGCGCGCUGAUCGAGACGGUGCGCGGCAAG
rnacentral:tRNA from 1 species